UUUACUAGGCCUUUUGGGUAUCUGUUCUUAUCAGUUUAAUAUCUGAUAUAUGGGUCAUUGGCCCACACGAUAUUAAAUUACUUUUUUAAAGUGAAGAGUCCAUUACAAAAGCUUGCUAUUGGGUCUCUCAGCUAUCGCUCAUGUGUUGCACUAUUACAUGAGCCGGUGUACCCUAC